UACGUAGGUGGCAAGCGUUGUCCGGAUUUACUGGGCGUAAAGAGCGCGCAGGCGGUUGUGCAAGUCGCGUGUGAAAGCCCCCGGCUCAACUGGGGAGGGUCACGCGAUACUGAUCGACUCGAAGGCAGGAGAGGGAAGUGGAAUUCCCGGUGUAGUGGUGAAAUGCGUGGAUAUCGGGAGGAACACCAGUGGCGAAGGCGACUUCCUGGCCUGUUCUUGACGCUGAGGCGCGAAAGCUAGGGGAGCAAACGGG
rnacentral:rRNA from 1 species